CGGGGUGUUGCCCAGGUGGUAGGGCGCCACAUUUGGGAUGUGGAAGUCGCAGGUUCAAGUCCUGUCACCCCGA
rnacentral:tRNA from 1 species